GUGGGGAAUAUUGGACAAUGGGCGAAAGCCUGAUCCCGCCAUGCCGCGUGUGUGAAGAAGGUCUUCGGAUUGUAAAGCACUUUAAGUUGGGAGGAAGGGCAGUAAGUUAAUACCUUGCUGUUUUGACGUUACCAACAGAAUAAGCACCGGCUAACUUCGUGCCAGCAGCCGCGGUAAUACGAAGGGUGCAAGCGUUAAUCGGAAUUACUGGGCGUAAAGCGCGCGUAGGUGGUUCAGCAAGUUGAAGGUGAAAUCCCCGGGCUCAACCUGGGAACUGCAGCCAAAAAUACUGAGCUAGAGUACGGUAGAGGGUAGUGGAAUUUCCUGUGUAGCGGUGAAAUGCGUAGAUAUAGGAAGGAACACCAGUGGCGAAGGCGACUACCUGGACUGAUACUGACACUGAGGUGCGAAAGCGUGGGGAGCAAACAGGAUUAGAAACCCUGGUAGUCC
rnacentral:rRNA from 1 species